rnacentral:rRNA from 1 species
CAGUAGCCACGGUAAUACGUAGGAUGCAAGCGUUAAUCGGAAUUACUGGGCGUAAAGCGUGCGCAGGCGGUUUGUUAAGACAGAUGUGAAAUCCCCGGGCUCAACCUGGGAACUGCAUUUGUGACUGGCAAGCUAGAGUGUGGCAGAGGGGGGUGGAAUUCCGCGUGUAGCAGUGAAAUGCGUAGAUAUGCGGAGGAACACCGAUGGCGAAGGCAGCCCCCUGGGCCAACACUGACGCUCAUGCACGAAAGCGUGGGGAGCAAACAGGAUUAGAUACCCCAGUAGUCCCUGUCUCUUAUAC